AUGCAGUUUACUGCACUAUUGAUUUGGAACAACACUGAGAAGAUUAGCAUCGCCCCUGCGCAAGGACGGCGCUUUCUUUGAGAGGUUGCCCACCAUGGUUUGAGCCAUGG